rnacentral:rRNA from 1 species
ACUCAAAGGAAUUGACGGGGACCCGCACAAGCGGUGGAGCGUGUUGUUUAAUUCGACGAUAAGCGAAGAACCUUACCAGGGUUUGACAUCCUGCGAAGGAUUCCGAAAGGAAACUGUGCCUUCGGGAACGCAGUGACAGGUGUUGCAUGGCCGUCGUCAGCUCGUGUCGUGAGAUGUUUGGUUAAGUCCAUCAACGAGCGCAACCCUUAUAGUUAGUUGAAUUUCUCUAGCUAGACUGCCUCGGCAACGGGGAGGAAGGAGGGGAUGAUGUCAGGUCAGUAUUACCCUUACAUCCUGGGCUACAAACACGCUACAAUGGCCGGUACAAAGGGCAGCCAAGUCGUGAGACGGAGCAAAUCCCAUCAAAGCCGGUCCCAGUUCGGAUUGCAGGCUGAAACUCGCCUGCAUGAAGCCGGAAUCGCUAGUAACGGUAAGUCAGCACAUUACCGUGAAUACGUUCCCGGGUCUUGUACACACCGCCCGU